UAUAUGUACGGUGCAAAAUGUUUCACAACUGUGAGCUCCCAUAAGAAGCCGUGUAAAUUACCCGCAUAGAAAUCUAUACUUUGUCAUACAUUUCAAACAGUAUAUUUCCCACAGCGGGUAGGGUUAACGUUCCACAAACAGUUUUCUAAACGUAGAACAAUAUGAGGUCAACAGAUUAAGACAAUAAAAAAUUGUAUGAGUAAUCUACAUCAAGCAGUUACAAAAUAUUAAACUGUGCGGACAUAGUGAAACGUUUUACAGAUAGAGAUUUCUGAUAAAUAGUUAAAACAUAAAGCUACCAUUCAAUAAAUAGUAGGUAACUAAUUGAACACGCACAAAAUAUACAAUACAGAGCCUGUGGAAGUCGCGCAACGCGAUUGAAGGUUCGUUAUUUUUUAACAGUUUAUAGCUUCCAUUACCUUUUGAAUUGCAAAUAUAAAAAAUCACAAGCAUUUGUUAUAAGUUUUAUAAAAUUACAAUCAUUGCAAUUUCUAAUUUUAAAUUGCAAUAAUUGACCUCACGGUGUGUUGAAUUUUUCAAGCGUUGUGUUUUUGUUAGCGAAAAAAAGUAAAAAAAAAAACAGUCCGAAAAUUUCUCGUUCCCGUUCUGUAUUCGAUGGACACGUUGGACAGAAACCAAGCGUAGUCCAUUCCAGUAGUUAUUCCGGUAGUGUUCCUUGAAUCUGUCCGCUGGGAUUCGCCGGAAGAUAUUCAGAUAUCAGUGAAAUCUGAUCGAGCUGAUGGAAAAUCACCGACGGUGAGUAAACGAGAAAAAUAAAGGUUCCGUCGGUGUGCACGGCAGCAAGCAACAACAACCCAACUCCACCGAUUGGCUCCCGGAGCAGCUGUGUCCGGUUCCAAUAUCAAACCCACAUGAGAUGACCAAGUGGAUUACCGCUGAUGUGGCCGUGAUCAGAUUUAACCUAUCACCUUUCCCGAAAGUAGAUGAAUCUUCCAAAGAUUCAAAGGAAAAGGAUGUCUGAAGUAAAACGACGUGGCCGUUGAAGAAAAAGUAAUAUUUUGGAUUUGACAAUUGCAUAAGACUGUGAAAUGAAAAUAAUAAACAUACAAUUGUAAAAUUGCGUUUUAUUAUUUUUCCAUGAAAACAUAUGUUUUAAAAUACUCAUCUCAUUAUGUGCAAACACAACAGCACAAUACAAUACAGGGUGAAAAACCCAUUACACACCGUAAAUGAAU